rnacentral:rRNA from 1 species
CCUACGGGAGGCUGCAGUGAGGAAUAUUGGUCAAUGGACGGAAGUCUGAACCAGCCAUGCCGCGUGCAGGAAGACGGCUCUAUGAGUUGUAAACUGCUUUUGUACAAGGGUAAACCUGAAUACGUGUAUUCAGCUGAAAGUACUGUACGAAUAAGGAUCGGCUAACUCCGUGCCAGCAGCCGCGGUAAUUAGGAGGAUCCAAUCGUUAUCCGGAUUUAUUGGGUUUAAAGGUUGCGUAGGCGGAUUGAUAAGUUAGAGGUGAAAUGUCCGAGCUUAACUCGGGAACUGACUCUAAUACUGUUGAUCGAGAGAGUAGAUGCGGAAGGCGGAAUGUAUGGUGUAGCGGUGAAAUGCUUAGAGAUCAUACAGAACACCGAUUGCGAAGGCAGCUUACCAAUCUAUAUCUGACGUUGAGGCACGAAAGCGUGGGGAGCAAACAGGAUUAGAUACCCUAGUAGUC